UGGAUUUUGUGUUCUUGUGUUCUACACCGUCCGUUAUAAUUGAACUUGGAGCUGAGGAUUUUAUGUUGCGGGAUGUCAACUCAUUCAAAGUUUUCCAUAGGCCAGAAGGAUUGUUUUUAUUCUCUUUAAUUUAUCAGGUUUUCGUAGUAUUGGGAUUUACAUUCACGCACUUUUUUGUUUACGAAGCAGCGGUACUUGCGGUAUGCAGACCAGUGUGUUUUUGACUGGGUUUUUUGUGCCUUCUUUAAAUGAUGGUCUCGUUGCUGCAUUGCCUGACUUAGCUCUGCUGUCAUCCACGGGAUGUUCACUCCCUUGAUCGGGGCGUGCAGAUCAGCUAUGUCAGUAAAACAUUUGCACCAGUUGUCAACGGUAGCAUUAAUAUCGUUAUCAUCUACUGCAGCAGACCACUUGUUAUUUCCAAGAUCUUGCAGAAAAGACUCUUUAUUGUAGCGUUUGUAAGAGUGGUAUUCAAUUAUACGCGGCGGAGCUUUAGUAACACCAGCUUUAAAGACGCAAAACACGAGAGAGUGGUCACUCAACGCACAAGGAAUCACACCACUUCUGACAAUUCUCUGAGUAUUGUUAACGAAAAUCAAGUCAAUCGUGGUUUGUGAUGUUUCUGUCAUUCUUGUGGGUUCUGUGAUUAGUUGGUCCAGGUGGAGCUGGCAAGAGAGAUUAUUCAGUAAUCGUUUGAAAGGAGAUCGAUUGAGUGCUCCAUCCUACCCAUGCGUCGACAAUUAUAUCUUAUAUGAAAAUUCUGCUCUGGAAAGAUGUGAAAUGUCACAUUGACUAUAAGUGAUUAUAAAGCAAACGUUGUUUACCGUCGGAGUGCCCAAAUUAGCAAAUGACUCAGCAGCUACCCGCAUGCGAAAGUAACCGGAUGUUAUAUUACUUUGCUAUAAAUUGACAGUAAGUGUGACAUAUCUAGAGUAAAACAUCUGCGAUACAUAUCUUUACUGACGGACUAUAAGC